rnacentral:rRNA from 1 species
CCUACGGGAGGCAGCAGUGGGGAAUAUUGCACAAUGGGGGAAACCCUGAUGCAGCGACGCCGCGUGAGCGAUGAAGUAUUUCGGUAGGUAAAGCUCUAUCAGCAGGGAAGAAAAUGACGGUACCUGACUAAGAAGCCACGGCUAACUACGUGCCAGCAGCCGCGGUAAUACGUAGGGGGCAAGCGUUAUCCGGAUUUACUGGGUGUAAGGGGAGCGUAGACGGUUCUGCAAGCCAGAUGUGAAAGCCCGGGGCUCAACCCCGGGACUGCAUUUGGAACUGUAAGGCUAGAGUGUCGGAGAGGCAGGCGGAAUUCCUAGUGUAGCGGUGAAAUGCGUAGAUAUUAGGAGGAACACCAGUGGCGAAGGCGGCCUGCUGGACGAUGACUGACGUUGAGGCUCGAAAGCGUGGGGAGCAAACAGGAUUAGAUACCCUGGUAGUC